rnacentral:rRNA from 1 species
GACGAACCUCUGGUGUUCGGGUUGUCAUGCCAAUGGCAUUGCCCGGUAGCUACGUUCGGAACUGAUAACCGCUGAAAGCAUCUAAGCGGGAAACAGGCUUUGAGAUGAGUUCUCACUGGACCUUUAAGGUCCCUGAAGGGUCGUUGGAGACUACGACGUUGAUAGGCGGGAUGUGGAAGCACUGUGAGGUGUUGAGCUAACCCGUACUAAUUGCCCGUGAGGCUUAACCAU